UGAGGAAUUAUGCGCAAUGGACGAAAGUCUGACGCUGCGACGUCGCGUGGGUGAUGAAGGUCUUCGGAUCGUAAAACCCUGUCGAGAGGGAAGAAAGAGCGGGCGCUAAUAUCGCCUACUUCUGACGGUACCUCUGGAGGAAGCCCCGGCUAACUCCGUGCCAGCAGCCGCGGUAAUACGGGGGGUGCAAGCGUUAAUCGGAAUUAUUGGGCGUAAAGGGUGCGUAGGUUGUUUGAUAAGAUAUAUGUGAAAUACCUGGGCUCAACCUGGGAAGGUCAUAUAAGACUGUCAGACUCGAGUAUGGGAGAGGGUAGAGGAAUUUCCGGUGUAGCGGUGAAAUGCGUAGAUAUCGGAAGGAACAUCGGUGGCGAAGGCGUCUACCUGGCCUAAUACUGACACUGAGGCACGAAAGCGUGGGGAGCAAACAGGAUUAGAUACCCUAGUAGUCCCUGAGCGGGCUGGCAAGGCGCAU
rnacentral:rRNA from 1 species